UACGGAGGGGGCUAGCGUUGUUCGGAAUUACUGGGCGUAAAGCGCACGUAGGCGGCUUUGUAAGUUAGAGGUGAAAGCCCGGGGCUCAACUCCGGAACUGCCUUUAAGACUGCAUCGCUAGAAUUGUGGAGAGGUGAGUGGAAUUCCGAGUGUAGAGGUGAAAUUCGUAGAUAUUCGGAAGAACACCAGUGGCGAAGGCGACUCACUGGACACAUAUUGACGCUGAGGCGCGAAAGCGUGGGGAGCAAACAGG
rnacentral:rRNA from 1 species